rnacentral:rRNA from 1 species
GAGUUUGAUCGUGGCUCAGAUUGAACGCUGGCGGCAUGCCUUACACAUGCAAGUCGAACGGCAGCACGGGAGCUUGCUCCUGGUGGCGAGUGGCGAACGGGUGAGUAAUGCAUCGGAACGUAUCCUGGAGUGGGGGAUAACGUAGCGAAAGUUACGCUAAUACCGCAUAUUCUGUGAGCAGGAAAGCGGGGGGACCUUCGGGCCUCGCGCUCUUGGAGCGGCCGAUGUCGGAUUAGCUAGUUGGUGAGGUAAAGGCUCACCAAGGCGACGAUCCGUAGCAGGUCUGAGAGGAUGAUCUGCCACACUGGAACUGAGACACGGUCCAGACUCCUACGGGAGGCAGCAGUGGGGAUUUUGGACAAUGGGGGCAACCCUGAUCCAGCCAUGCCGCGUGAGUGAAGAAGGCC